rnacentral:tRNA from 1 species
UGGGAUGAAGCUUAAGUGGUAUAAAGCACUUGACUGUUAAUCAAGGGACAGUAGGUUCAAAUCCUAUCAUCCCAG